rnacentral:rRNA from 1 species
UACGGAGGGUGCAAGCGUUAUCCGGAUUCACUGGGUUUAAAGGGAGCGUAGGUGGCUUUGUAAGUCAGUGGAUGAAAUCUUAGAGCUCAAACUCUAAAACUGCCAUUGAUACUGCUUAGCUUGAAUCACGUCGAGGUGGAUGGAAUAUUACAUGUAGCGGUGAAAUGCUUAGAUAUGUAAUAGAACACCGAUUGCGAAGGCAGUUCACUAGGCGUGUAUUGACACUGGAGGACUC